rnacentral:rRNA from 1 species
UACGAAGGGGGCUAGCGUUGCUCGGAAUCACUGGGCGUAAAGGGUGCGUAGGCGGGUCUUUAAGUCCGGGGUGAAAUCCUGGAGCUCAACUCCAGAACUGCCUUUGAUACUGAGGAUCUUGAGUUCGGGAGAGGUGAGUGGAACUGCGAGUGUAGAGGUGAAAUUCGUAGAUAUUCGCAAGAACACCAGUGGCGAAGGCGGCUCACUGGCCCGAUACUGACGCUGAGGCACGAAAGCGUGGGAAGCAAACAGG